UACAGAGGUCCCAAGCGUUGUUCGGAUUCACUGGGCGUAAAGGGUGCGUAGGCGGUGCGGUAAGUCUGUUGUGAAAUCUCCGGGCUCAACUCGGAGUCUGCAUCAGAAACUGCCGUGCUGGAGUGUGGGAGAGGUGAGUGGAAUUCCCGGUGUAGCGGUGAAAUGCGUAGAGAUCGGGAGGAACACCUGCGGCGAAAGCGGCUCACUGGACCAUAACUGACGCUGAUGCACGAAAGCUAGGGGAGCAGACAGG
rnacentral:rRNA from 1 species